UGGGGAAUAUUGCACAAUGGGCGAAAGCCUGAUGCAGCAACGCCGCGUGAGUGAUGAAGGUCUUCGGAUUGUAAAGCUCUGUCUUUUGGGACGAUAAUGACGGUACCAAAGGAGGAAGCCACGGCUAACUACGUGCCAGCAGCCGCGGUAAUACGUAGGUGGCGAGCGUUGUCCGGAUUUACUGGGCGUAAAGGGUGCGUAGGCGGAUGUUUAAGUGAGAUGUGAAAUACCCGGGCUUAACUUGGGUGCUGCAUUUCAAACUGGAUAUCUAGAGUGCAGGAGAGGAGAAUGGAAUUCCUAGUGUAGCGGUGAAAUGCGUAGAGAUUAGGAAGAACACCAGUGGCGAAGGCGAUUCUCUGGACUGUAACUGACGCUGAGGCACGAAAGCGUGGGUAGCAAACAGGAUUAGAUACCCUGGUAGUCCACGCCGUAAAACGAUGAGUACUAGGUGUAGGAGGUAUCGA
rnacentral:rRNA from 1 species